rnacentral:rRNA from 1 species
GACGAACCGUGCGAACGUUGUUCGGAAUCACUGGGCUUAAAGGGCGCGUAGGCGGGUUGCCAAGUCCGGGGUGAAAGCCUCCAGCUUAACUGGAGAAGUGCCUUGGAUACUGGUGAUCUCGAGGGGGGUAGGGGCAUGUGGAACUUCCGGUGGAGCGGUGAAAUGCGUAGAUAUCGGAAGGAACGCCGGUGGCGAAAGCGACGUGCUGGACCUCUUCUGACGCUGAGGCGCGAAAGCUAGGGGAGCAAACGGG